UUUAUCCUUAUUUAUUUUGAACCAGCACUCAUUCUUAGUAUGUCCCGACUUUUUACAGUAGUAGCACUUCUUCCACGGUUUAUUACGCGUAUCACUUUUUGGUAUAUUGUUUCUUUUAUUGUACUGUCCACCAAAGCGUCCACCACAUUCACUUUGAAAAUGUCCUGUUUUCUGACAUUUGAAGCAUUUGAUGUUCUGUCUAUCCUCUUUCUUCGCGACGAAAGCUGCCGACUGCUGAGGCACUUCUUCUUUGUCUCUCAAUCGCUCUUCUUCUAUGAGUAAUCUGGCAACGAGGUGGUCAUAAGUCUGCUUGUCUUCUGGCGCCGAUUCCCAAGCGGAUAUAAAAUAUUGGUAUUUUACUGGAAGUGACAUUAACACCUUAGUUAUUAUGAAUUUUUCGGAAAUAGUUUCUCCCAUCUGCUUUAAUUGAUUUUUCAGUUCUUCUAUUUUCGAUAAGAAUGUGGACAUGUCCGUUCCGUCUUCAUAUUUAUAUUGAAAGAAACGUUGUUGGAUGAUAUGUACAGUUGUUUCGGAAGUUUGUUCGUAAAUAGUACAAAGUUUCUUCCACAUUUCUGCAGACGUAUUGCAUUUUGUCGUUCCUUCUAAUUUUAUAUGCGAUGUCUUGUUAUCUUCCAUUUUCCUUCCUGCACUUCCUUGUAUUACGAACAAGUCUUUACAAUGCAGUCUUUACUGUUUCACUGUUUUACGAUACUAUCGCCUUGCAGGAUUAUGUGCCUGGGCCCAUAACCUGAAGGGAACAGUGAAACAGAAUAUAAAUAUAAUAUGGAAUUUUAUUAUGUGACUUUUCAGAAUACCAUGUUUCUUAAAGUGUUUCUUAC